GCUGGAUUGGCCAGCAGGGGGAGAUAAUGGUGUAAUGGCUGGAUUGGCCAGCAGGGGGAGAUAAUGGUGUAAUGGCUGGAUUGGCCGGCAGGGGGAGAUAAUGGUGUAAUGGCCGGAUUGGCCGGCAGGGGGAGAUAAUGGUGUAAUGGCUGGAUUGGCCGGCAGGGGGAGAUAAUGGUGUAAUGGUUGGAUUGGCCAGCAGGGGGAGAUAAUGGUGUAAUGGUUGGAUUGGCCAGCAGGGGGAGAUAAUGGUGUAAUGGCAGGAUUGGCCAGCAGGGGGAGAUAAUGGUGUAAUGGCUGGAUUGGCCAGCAGGG